CGCUAGCGGCAGGCUUAACACAUGCAAGUCGAGGGGCAGCACGUCUUCGGAUGGUGGCGACCGGCGCACGGGUGCGUAACGCGUAUACAAUCUACCUUUUACAGGGGCAUAGCCCGGGGAAACCCGGAUUAAUAUCCCAUGGUAUGUAGAGAUGGCAUCAUNUUUACAUUAAAGUUUCGGCGGUAAAAGAUGAGUAUGCGUCCUAUUAGCUAGAUGGUAAGGUAACGGCUUACCAUGGCUACGAUAGGUAGGGGUCCUGAGAGGGAGAUCCCCCACACUGGUACUGAGACACGGACCAGACUCCUACGGGAGGCAGCAGUGAGGAAUAUUGGACAAUGGGCGCAAGCCUGAUCCAGCCAUGCCGCGUGCAGGAAGACUGCCCUAUGGGUUGUAAACUGCUUUUAUACGGGAAGAAACACCCUCUCGUGAGGGGGCUUGACGGUACCGUAUGAAUAAGGAUCGGCUAACUCCGUGCCAGCAGCCGCGGUAAUACGGAGGAUCCAAGCGUUAUCCGGAAUCAUUGGGUUUAAAGGGUCCGUAGGCGGGUUUGUAAGUCAGUGGUGAAAGUCUGCAGCUCAACUGUAGAACUGCCAUUGAUAC
rnacentral:rRNA from 1 species